rnacentral:rRNA from 1 species
UACGUAUGGGGCAAGCGUUAUCCGGAUUCAUUGGGCGUAAAGAGCGCGUAGGCGGCUUGUUAAGUUAGGUGUGAAAUCCGGGGGCUUAACCCGCGGUCUGCACCUAAAACUGGCAGGCUUGAGUCUGGUAGAGGAAAGUGGAAUUCCCAGUGUAGCGGUGAAAUGCGCAGAUAUUGGGAGGAACACCAGUGGCGAAGGCGGCUUUCUGGGCCACGACUGACGCUGAGGCGCGAAAGCUAGGGGAGCGAACAGG